GGGCAUUACGGCAGCUUACACAUGCAGUCGAGCGGUAGCACAGGGGAGCUUGCUCCCUGGGUGACGAGCGGCGGACGGGUGAGUAAUGUCUGGGAAACUGCCUGAUGGAGGGGGAUAACUACUGGAAACGGUAGCUAAUACCGCAUAACGUCGCAAGACCAAAGAGGGGGACCUUCGGGCCUCUUGCCAUCAGAUGUGCCCAGAUGGGAUUAGCUAGUAGGUGGGGUAAUGGCUCACCUAGGCGACGAUCCCUAGCUGGUCUGAGAGGAUGACCAGCCACACUGGAACUGAGACACGGUCCAGACUCCUACGGGAGGCAGCAGUGGGGAAUAUUGCACAAUGGGCGCAAGCCUGAUGCAGCCAUGCCGCGUGUGUGAAGAAGGCCUUCGGGUUGUAAAGCACUUUCAGCGAGGAGGAAGGUGGUGAACUUAAUACGUUCAUCAAUUGACGUUACUCGCAGAAGAAGCACCGGCUAACUCCGUGCCAGCAGCCGCGGUAAUACGGAGGGUGCAAGCGUUAAUCGGAAUUACUGGGCGUAAAGCGCACGCAGGCGGUUUGUUAAGUCAGAUGUGAAAUCCCCGGGCUCAACCUGGGAACUGCAUUUGAAACUGGCAAGCUAGAGUCUCGUAGAGGGGGGUAGAAAUUCCAGGUGUAGCGGUGAAAUGCGUAGAGAUCUGGAGGAAUACCGGGUGGCGAAGUCGGCCCCCUGGACGAACACUGACGCUCAGGUGCGAAAGCGUGGUGAGCAAACAGGGA
rnacentral:rRNA from 1 species